rnacentral:lncRNA from 1 species
GUCCAUCUAUGAAUACUUUAAGUGGAUGUUGGGAACAACAGAUGACAUUGGUGCUUUGGAAAACCCAGAGUUGUUUAGUUUAUGCUCUGUACCCCUGUAUGCCUUCAUAGUAGCUGCCUGCAUUUCAGUAAGUCCUACUGAAGCCAGGAGUAAGCCAUUUACGGUUACGGAGAUGUAUUUCCGAAUUUUUCGCUUUUGCAUGAAACAACACGGACAUCAAGAUGUGGAGCACUUAGAUAAGUACAUUAAAGACAACAAGAGGGACGUCGUAAACUUAGCUCUAGCCUCCUAUCAAGCAAUGCUAGCAAAGACAGUGAACCUGACAGACUUGGAUCAUGAAGAUAAGUCUGUGCAAAAUGCUUUCUUAACAAAGCAAUUCUGGAACCCAUCCACAACUUCUUGCAAAGUGUAUGCAUUCCUGCAUAAUACAAUGCAAGAGUUUUGGGCAGCUCUCUAUAUAAUUUUAAAUCCUGACAAGAUCACCAGUGUACUGGAUCAAUGCCAAAGCGAUGAAGAUGGAAAAUACCUUAAAUAUAUCAUGCCAUUUUUGUCUGGACUUCUCGCGGAUAAUCUAUUUGAGCUCAUAAAGUGUUUGGUGCCAGUAGAACAGAUAGAAGCCACACGCGUUAAGUACUUUCAACAGAUUAUAGAUACUUUCCUUUACACCAAAGAGCAGAAUCAAGAAGGCGAUUGUGAGCAGUUUGUGGAAGCUGACAACAUCCUGUUUGUGUGUCGAUGCCUUUAUGAGUAUCAGUCUGCUGAUGCAUGCCGAAUCUUCCUGGAAAAGGUUCAGUAUGAGCUUGAUUUAGAGGAUCAAACACUUGAUCCUUACCAGUGCUGUGUAAUCUCCUAUGUGGUCAAUCAAGCUGUGCAUCAGAAUAUUAAACUGGAUCUCACAGAUUGUAGCAUGACUAACCCUGGCUUGAAACUACUUCUAAGCUCAUUGAAAAAUCUGAAAUUUCUCAGGUACAAGAAGUUUAGAACAGCCACUUUCUUUCAUCAGUGUCUAGCAAUUACAAAAAUGAUAUGAUGUAUAACAUUUUUAUUCUUCACAUUUUUUAUU